GUGCUCGCUUUGGCAGCACAUAUACUAAAAUUGUAAAGAUACAGAGAAGAUUAGCAUGGCCCCUGUGCAAGGAUGAUACGCAAAUUUGUGAAGCAUUCCAUAUUUUU
ensembl:snRNA U6 U6 spliceosomal RNA